AUAAGUUUCAAUAAAUUAAAAGUUUAUAAAAUUUUAAAGUCACCCCAACCAAAUAUUACUUAAUAAAAAAAUACUUAAAAAUAUAAAGUAUAAUAUUAAACUCUAUAGGGUCUUCUCGUCUUAUAGAAAAAUUUAAGCUUUUUAACUUAAUAAUAAAAUUCAUUAAACUUAAAUAAACAAAGUAACUUUCUCAUCCAACCAUUCAUACAAGUUCUCAAUCAAAAAACUAAUGAUUACGCUACCUUUGUACAGUUAGUAUACCGCAGCCAUUAAAACUCUCAUUGGGCAGGUCAAACUUUAUAAAAUUAACAAAAAGACAUGUUUUUGUUAAACAGGCGA
rnacentral:rRNA from 1 species